rnacentral:rRNA from 1 species
GGGUACGGUUGGGUAGGAGGACGGAAUGACAAGGCCACUGCGAGAGAGAAAGGGAGCGGGAGUAAGGAUAGGUCAGCGGGUCAGGAGGAGGGGGGAGGGAGAGAACGCACCACCAAUAGUAGCCGUUGGCGCGAGGGACUGGCUUCGCUGCCGGCCUCGUGAGCAGGAGAAGGUGCGGCCGCCGGUUUGGUGGGCCUCGGUCGUAGUAGAAGGUGAGGCUGUCGGCUUAGUGGAGCUCAAACGCCUUGUGGCCUGGACGAGUCCCAUUCCAGGAGCAGGUGCCUAGAACGGCCCUUUUUUGUAAAAGAGGUAACAAAGCUCAUCCCAAAGUAACUCUGAAACUCUCGAUUGGACGGUUAGUUCUCCGUAUACGUUCAUUCCAAAUGUGGACCCACUAAAAACUAGUUAAACCGCUUCGAGAGAUGUUUCAACCACGUAUAGCCUCCCGGUGUCCACAUGUUGGGCCGGGGUUUUCUCCACUAAACAGCUACCGAGGUUCCUUUAACGGCUUUACGUGCUUGACACCCCACCAACCUGUAGCAGCGGUACGUACACCGUGAUUCUUCUCGCCCGACAAACUCGGUUUGAAGGAGAUCAAUGUUAGAAGCAAGUAGUGUCGCUACCAAAUACAUCAGCCUAAACGUUAUAAACACCGUUGAUAAAGACAAAAUACUACGUGUACAAAGUAAACGAUGAGCAUAAUAGCUUGGACCAGAGGAACGGUACAAAAUCGACUAAAUAAAUCGUAGAGGAUCACACCUGACGUAUUUCGGAAACAAGGUACAAG